ACGAUUAGAGUUUGAUCCUGGCUCAGGACGAACGCUGGCGGGCGUGCCUAACACAUGCAAGUCGAGCGGAGAUAAGUCGAAGAGUAAUCAGAGACGUAUCUUAGCGGCGGACGGGUGAGUAACGCGUGGGCAACCUACCUCAUACUGGGGGAUAACAGUGGGAAACUACUGCUAAUACCGCAUAACAUCAUCGGAUGACAUCUUCCGAUGAUCAAAGGAGCAAUCCGGUGUGAGAUGGGCCCGCGUCCAAUUAGCUAGUUGGUGAGGUAACGGCCCACCAAGGCGACGAUUGGUAGCCGAACUGAGAGGUUGAUCGGCCACAUUGGGACUGAGACACGGCCCAGACUCCUACGGGAGGCAGCAGUGGGGAAUAUUGCGCAAUGGGGGAAACCCUGACGCAGCAACGCCGCGUGAAGGAUGAAGGUUUUCGGAUUGUAAACUUCUUUGAUGAGGGACGAACAAAAUGACGGUACCUCAAAAACAAGCCACGGCUAACUACGUGCCAGCAGCCGCGGUAAUACGUAGGUGGCGAGCGUUGUCCGGAAUUACUGGGUGUAAAGGGCGUGUAGGCGGGAGAGCAAGUCAGAUGUGAAAUACCGGAGCUUAACUCCUGGGCUGCAUCUGAAACUGUUUUUCUUGAGUGUCGGAGAGGAAAGCGGAAUUCCCAGUGUAGCGGUGAAAUGCGUAGAUAUUGGGAGGAACACCAGUGGCGAAGGCGGCUUUCUGGACGACAACUGACGCUGAGGCGCGAAAGCGUGGGGAGCAAACAGGAUUAGAUACCCUGGUAGUCCACGCCGUAAACGAUGGAUACUAGGUGUAGGAGGUAUCGACCCCUUCUGUGCCGGAGUUAACACAAUAAGUAUCCCACCUGGGGAGUACGGCCGCAAGGUUGAAACUCAA
rnacentral:rRNA from 1 species